rnacentral:lncRNA from 1 species
UCCACGGUGGCUUCAGAGUGGCUCUCCCUCAACCUGUGAAGCUCGCCAUCCAUCUCCUUCGACCUUUUCAUUAAAUAAUGAACUUUCUUCUUCAGACGUUGGAUCGUGGACUUCAGCAGAAUCUCCUGUGACAGGGGAAGCACUUCGACAGGACACUGCCAUCGGGAGACAAAAGCAUCAAGGCGCAUCUCUUUGCAUUAAGCAAAACAAGAAAAAAGGAGGGGGGAGC